GAUGAAGAACGCAUCGAAAUGCGAUAAGUAAUGCGAAUUGCAGAAUUUCCGUGAGUCAUCGAAUCUUUGAACGCACAUUGCGCCCACUGGUAUUCCGGUGGGCAUGCCUGUCUGAGCGUCAUUGUCAACCCUCAAGCUCAGCUUGCUGUUGGGUCCCCGUCGUUGCUUUAACGGCGGACCCGAAAGGUAAUGGCAGAGUCCGUGAGACCCUAGACGCAGCGAGCUUCUAGCACGCGUCUGGACGUUUUUCGGGCUCGGUCUUAACUAGAUGAUAACUUCCGAUUGACCUCAGAUCAGGUAGGGAUACCCGCUGAACUUAAGCAUAUCAAUAAGCGGAGGA
rnacentral:misc_RNA from 1 species